GCCGACGCGAUGAUACCUCCCGCGCGUCGUAGACGGAUAAGAAUAGGCUCCGGCCUCGCAUCCUAGCAGGCGAUCCCUCCCGCGGCCUCGAAGUGGUCGUGGGUAGUUCGCGUAUUGUAAUUUGAACACGUGCGGGGUCAAAUCCUUUGCAGACGACUUAGCUGUGCGAAACGGUCCUGUAAGCAGUAGAGUAGCCUUGUUGUUACGAUCUGCUGAGGGUAAGCCG
rnacentral:rRNA from 1 species